rnacentral:ncRNA from 1 species
CCAAAGUUUUAUUCUAGCUUAUGAACUUUCUUAUUAUAAUAUUUUACAUGUAAAUUUUUGUGUGGUUUAUAGUUAACUUAAAUAGUUAUUUAAUAGUUAGUCGCAGUAUAAAGUUUUAGAAAUCAAGGCUUCUUGGAUCUAGGUAUAUAUUUAUAGUAUUGACUAAGUUUGUGCCAGCAGUCGCGGUUAGACAAACAAUGCGAGUAAGUUUUUUUGGUUUCAAUUAAUUUGAAUAUUAAAUAAUAAUUUAGAAUUGAAUUUAUUAGGUGAAAUUUUAAGUUUAACUUAGGUUAUUAAUUAAUUAGUGAGGUUGGGAAAUUUAUUUUUAGACUAGGAUUAGAUACCCUAUUAUUUUAAAUGUAUAUUUUUAAACCUAAUUAGUAUUAGUUAUGUUCUUGAAAAUUAAAGAAUUUGGCGGUAUUUUAGUCUAUCCAGAGGAACCUGUCCUAUAAUCGAUAAUCCACGAUUGGCUUGACUUGUUUUAAUUAGUUUGUAUAUCGUCGUGGUUGAACAUUUUAGGAGAAUUAAAUGUUCAAGAUUUUUUAUUAGACAAAAAUUCAGAUCAAGGUGUAGCUUAUAGGCAAGAAGAGAUGGGUUACAAUAAAUUAAUUUAUGGAUCGUGAGGUUGGACUUUACGUGAAAUUGGAUUUGGUAGUAAUUAAAUUUUAAUUUUUUUAGUGAUUUUAGCUCUAAAAUAUGCACAUAUUGCCCGUCGCUUUUGUUCUAAGAUAAAAUAAGUCGUAACAUAGUAGGCUUACUGGAAAGUGAGCCUAGAAGAGC